rnacentral:rRNA from 1 species
CAGCAGCCGCGGUAAAACAGAGGGUGCGAGCGUUAAUCGGAUUUACUGGGCGUAAAGCGUGCGUAGGCGGCUUCUUAAGUCGGAUGUGAAAUCCCUGAGCUUAACUUAGGAAUUGCAUUCGAUACUGGGAAGCUAGAGUAUGGGAGAGGAUGGUAGAAUUCCAGGUGUAGCGGUGAAAUGCGUAGAGAUCUGGAGGAAUACCGAUGGCGAAGGCAGCCAUCUGGCCUAAUACUGACGCUGAGGUACGAAAGCAUGGGGAGCAAACAGGAUUAGAUACCCGCGUAGUCCCUGUCUCUUAUAA